rnacentral:rRNA from 1 species
UACGAAGGGGGCUAGCGUUGCUCGGAAUUACUGGGCGUAAAGGGCGCGUAGGCGGUUUGUCGCGUCUGCUGUGAAAACCCGAGGCUCAACCUCGGGCCUGCAGUGGGUACGGGGCAGACUAGAGUGCGGUAGGGGAGAAUGGAAUUCCUGGUGUAGCGGUGGAAUGCGCAGAUAUCAGGAGGAACACCGAUGGCGAAAGGCAGUUCUCUGGGGCCCGUUACUGACGCUGAGGAGCGAAAGCGUGGGAGCGAACAGGAU